GACAGCUUCUAGCUGUAAUCACGUGUAUGAUUGUUUCCACAUGUGAAACGGAUGUAAAAAUGAUUGGAUGAAAAAUCCCCCCCGUGGCCGGCAGUCUGAAUAAAGGCUGUGAAGUCGUGUCAACAUGGUUUCAGUUAUCCUGCAGGAAACAGAUGGUCUACAACAGCAGAAGACUACAUCAGGUCCCACUCCUGUCAACUAAGACAGCACAGGCUCACCAAAAUUGGAAAUUAGAAGACUGGAAAAACAAUAUGAGCAACAUUCAGAAGGGAAGCACGUUUUCUUUCUGGCUGCUUCUCUGUGGUCUGACCAGGAACUAACUCAUCCUUAUUCUAGAAAGUGAACC